GAAAUGCGAUAAGUAAUGUGAAUUGCAGAAUUCAGUGAAUCAUCGAAUCUUUGAACGCACAUUGCGCCCGCCAGUAUUCUGGCGGGCAUGCCUGUUCGAUCGUCAUUACAACCCUCAGGCCCCCGGGCCUGGCGUUGGGGAUCGGCGGAAGCCCCCUGCGGGCACAACGCCGUCCCCCAAAUACAGUGGCGGUCCCGCCGCAGCUUCCAUUGCGUAGUAGCUAACACCUCGCAACUGGAGAGCGGCGCGGCCACGCCGUAAAACACCCAACUUCUGAAUGUUGACCUCGAAUCAGGUAGGAAUACCCGCUGAACUUAAGC
rnacentral:misc_RNA from 1 species